AUUGAACGCUGGCGGCAGGCCUAACACAUGCAAGUCGCACGAGUGGCGGACGGGUGAGUAAUGUCUGGGAAACUGCCUGAUGGAGGGGGCUAACUACUGGAAACGGUAGCUAAUACCGCAUACCAUCCGAUGUUCCCAGAUGGGAUUAGCUAGUUGGUGGGGUAACGGCUCACCAAGGCGACGAUCCCUAGCUGGUCUGAGAGGAUGACCAGCCACAAUGGAACUGAGACACGGUCCAGACUCCUACGGGAGGCAGCAGUGGUGAAUAUUGAACAAUGGGAGCAAGCCUGAGACAGCCAUGCCGCGUGUAUGAAGAAGGCAUUCGGGUUGUAAAGUACUGUCAGCGGGGAGGCGUUACCCGCAGAAGAAGCACCGGCUAACGCCGUGCCAGCAGCCGCGGUAAUUC
rnacentral:rRNA from 1 species